AGCACUUCCCUUAAGCCGGCGCCAGCUGCGCUCUCCGACCGUCCUAACAAAGUCCCAUUGAGUCACCAGCUGAUUUUCCUGUGUUCAGCUCUGGGGGACAAGGGACUCUCUUUGCUGGAUGGGCAUUACUCUAGUGCACUGACCGAGCCACUCACCACUCAGGUCCGCCCCAGUUCCUUCCUGCCCUUUAUGCCAUCGGCAGACUUGGCCAGCUCUCUGUCCUAUGGCCAGUUUUGGUAGAGUCUGAAGAUUAAAAGGGACCGCAAAAAACCCCAGGCACCGCACCCGCACCUUCAGGGACCCGGAAGUCCUGCCUAUUCCUUCUGCCCAGCAAUUGGCUCAUGGCUUCUUUACUGACAGGUCAAGAACCAAUCAGAAAACAGGAUGGCAUCAGAAACCACUCCUACAAGGGACAGCAUUUAAUUGGGACUGUCUUGCAAGUUCUGAGAUUCCUUAUCAUCGUGGUGGGAAGCAUGGCAACAUCUAGGCAGACGUGGUGUUGGAGAAGCUGAAAGUUCUACAUCUUGUUCCAAAGGCAACUAGGAGAAGACUGGCAUCCUCAGGCAGCUAAGAGAAAGCUCUCUUCCUCAACGGGUGGAGCCUGAGUAUAGGAGGAGACCUUCAAACCUACCCCUAUAGUGACACACUUUCUCCAACAAGGCCACACCUCCUAGCAAUACCACUCCCUGGGCCAAGCGUAUUUGUAUCACCACAUUCUGUUCAAACACAUGAGUCUAUGGGGGCCAUACCUAGCCAUAGCACAGUCCACUUUCAAAUGUCUUAUAGUCUAUAGGCAGUCUCAACAACCUUAAAAGUCCGAAGUUAGAAGUCUCUUCUGAGAUUCAUCCAAUCACUUAAUUGUAAUCCCCUAUAAAAAUCAAAAUCAAAAAGCAGAUCACAUACCUCCAGCAUUGCAGGAUAUACAUUACCAUUCCCAAACAUCAUAGUGAGGAAAUCCUGGACCAAAGCAAGACCAAAACCCAGCUGGGCAAACUCCAAACUCUGCAUCUCCAUGUCUGAUGUCAAAGCACUCUUCAGAUCUCCAGCACCUUUCAUCCUUCAUGACUGCUGUUGGCAGAUCUAGCAUUCAGCAGCAACAAACUUCAUUAUGCUGGGCCUUUUUGAGACUUCCUUUGUCAAUGCAAUUAAUAUAAAUAAAUCUCUUUACAU
rnacentral:lncRNA from 1 species